UGAUCCCAGAUAGUCUCUAGUUCAUUUUUGGCUGUUGAGCACAGUUAUUGUUCAUUUGAUUGCUGCUUUACUUCAUUCAAGUAAUGAAAAUAUGUGUGACUAAUCUGGCAUGUGAUAUUCUAGGAUUCCCUUGGAGGAAACAGAAAAACAGUUAUGAUAGCUUGUGUAAGUCCAGCAGACACAAAUGCAGAGGAGACCGUAAACACGUUGAAGUAUGCAAAUCGUGCUCGCAACAUUCAAAACAAAGCGAUUAUCAACCGUGACCCAAUGGCAGCUCAAAUGCAAAGAAUGCGAAGUCAAAUUGAACAAUUGCAGGCUGAGCUUCUUUUCUUUCGUGGAGACACGGGUGCAUCAUUUGAGGAACU